rnacentral:rRNA from 1 species
AGCGGCAGGCCUAACACAUGCAAGUCGAGGGGCAGCGGGGAUAAGCUUGCUUAUCCGCCGGCGACCGGCGCACGGGUGCGCAACGCGUAUAGAAUCUGCCCUGUACUGGGGAAUAGCCCAGAGAAAUUUGGAUUAAUGCCCCAUGGUAUGUAGGAGUGGCAUCACUUCUACAUUAAAGGCUACGGUACAGGAUGACUAUGCGUCCCAUUAGUUAGUUGGUAAGGUAACGGCUUACCAAGGCAGCGAUGGGUAGGGGCCCUGAGAGGGGGAUCCCCCACACUGGUACUGAGACACGGACCAGACUCCUACGGGAGGCAGCAGUGAGGAAUAUUGGACAAUGGGCGGGAGCCUGAUCCAGCCAUGCCGCGUGCAGGAAGACGGUCCUAUGGAUUGUAAACUGCUUUUGUACGGGAAGAACAAGGGGCACGUGUGCCCCUCUGACGGUACCGUAAGAAUAAGGAUCGGCUAACUCCGUGCCAGCAGCCGCGGUAAUACGGAGGAUCCGAGCGUUAUCCGGAAUCAUUGGGUUUAAAGGGUCCGUAGGCGGGCCAUUAAGUCAGGGGUGAAAGUCUGCGGCUCAACCGUAGAAUUGCCCUUGAUACUGGUGGUCUUGAGUUUAUGGUGAAGUAACUAGAAUAUGUAGUGUAGCGGUGAAAUGCAUAGAUAUUACAUAGAAUACCCGAUUGCGAAGGCAGGUUACUAACCAUAUACUGACGCUGAUGGACGAAAGCGUGGGGAGCGAACAGGAUUAGAUACCCUGGUAGUCCACGCCGUAAACGAUGGAUACUAGCUGUCCGGAUGCAAAUCUGGGCGGCCAA